ensembl:misc_RNA Y_RNA Y RNA
GGCUGCUCUGAUGGUAGUAGGUUAUCAGAACUUACUAACAUUAGUGUCACUAAAGUUGGUAUACAACCCCCCACUGCUAAAUUUGACUGGCUUUAA